UACAGAGGUCCCAAGCGUUGUUCGGAUUCACUGGGCGUAAAGGGUGCGUAGGUGGUGAGGUAAGUCGGAUGUGAAAUCUCCGGGCUCAACCCGGAAAUGGCAUUGGAAACUACCUUGCUGGAGGAUUUGAGGGGGGAUUGGAAUACCUGGUGUAGCAGUGAAAUUCGUAGAUAUCGGGAGGAACACCGGUGGCGAAGGCGGCGACCUGGGUCGACACUGACGCUGAGGCGCGAAAGCGUGGGGAGCAAACAGG
rnacentral:rRNA from 1 species